UACAUACAUUCAUAAUCCGUGGUUGCAAUUUUUACACGUGUAUCUUUGAUGCGCCGUUUGGUAUGCCUGUAUCUAUAAAUAACCGCUGCGAUUUUAAGUAGCGCCUGUUAAUGCUAUUUUCCUAGACCUUAAGAUUUAUGGUACAAUAUUAAUUACAAUAUAUCAUUAACAAAGGAAAAC